GCUAAUGCUACUUGCCGUUAACCAGUUUUCACCUCGGAUUUGAGCGGAAAGUAUGGAAAGCAGGUUGAUGGGUACUAUGCACUGCUUUUUAGCCAGGUGACUCUGGGAAAGCUGCUUUUAACUUUCAUAAGGUUGUAUAAUGGCAUAUCUGCAUCACUUGAGCCUUCCUCAAAUCAAAUGGACCAUCGAUCCCCAAGGCUGAUGGACGGUAUAUUUGUAUGAUCAAAGUUUUCAUAAAACUUUAACUUAUUGGUAAUAAAGAAUUUCCUCCAAA